rnacentral:tRNA from 3 species
GGAUGGGUGGCCGAGUGGUCGAAGGCGGUAGUCUUGAAAACUACUGUACGUUGACGCGUACCCUGGGUUCGAAUCCCAGCCCAUCCG